CCCUUGGAGAGGGGACAAUGCACCAUCUGAGAGGCUGCAAGAUGCUGGCUUAUCCUUGGAAGAAGCUGAUUUUUCCUGUGUAGCAGCUGGACAAACAGGGUUUUGUCCAAGCAGGCCUCUGAGUUCGGCUUCUGCCCUGCUCACCAAACAGAACAGGGGUUUGUGCUGAAAAAUGUGAUGUGGAAGUAAAACAUCACUACAGUAUUCCAGCCAGUUCCUUAGUAUUGUGACUUCAGGUGGUGUCCCAUUGGAAAUGGAAUCGUGCUGCCCUUUGACUCCAUGGGUCAGGUUGCUGAGAUGGAUAUUUUCCAGUAAGGCCAUCUACUUCAGCUGAAAACUUACUGCUUUUUUAGGAGUUGCAUUUUUUGGCAGGACAAUGGCAUUUCCCACAGAAAGCAAACUACAGUACCACGCACAGUCCCACGUCUCAUGAGAAGAACCAGGAGAGAUUGCUACAGACGCUGGGAGUUGCUUUACUGACAUCACUGGGAGUUUUGCCACUGAUUUCAGCAGAGUUAUGAUUUCAAACGGGACUCGGCUGCCAUUGGACUCGUGAUUUAAUUAGAUGACUCUUUAC
rnacentral:lncRNA from 1 species